AGAGUUUGAUCCUGGCUCAGGACGAACGCUGGCGGCGUGCCUAAUACAUGCAAGUAGAACGCUGAAGACUUUAGCUUGCUAAAGUUGGAAGAGUUGCGAACGGGUGAGUAACGCGUAGGUAACCUGCCUACUAGCGGGGGAUAACUAUUGGAAACGAUAGCUAAUACCGCAUAACAGCAUUUAACCCAUGUUAGAUGCUUGAAAGGAGCAAUUGCUUCACUAGUAGAUGGACCUGCGUUGUAUUAGCUAGUUGGUGAGGUAACGGCUCACCAAGGCGACGAUACAUAGCCGACCUGAGAGGGUGAUCGGCCACACUGGGACUGAGACACGGCCCAGACUCCUACGGGAGGCAGCAGUAGGGAAUCUUCGGCAAUGGGGGCAACCCUGACCGAGCAACGCCGCGUGAGUGAAGAAGGUUUUCGGAUCGUAAAGCUCUGUUGUAAGAGAAGAACGUGUGUGAGAGUGGAAAGUUCACACAGUGACGGUAACUUACCAGAAAGGGACGGCUAACUACGUGCCAGCAGCCGCGGUAAUACGUAGGUCCCGAGCGUUGUCCGGAUUUAUUGGGCGUAAAGCGAGCGCAGGCGGUUUAAUAAGUCUGAAGUUAAAGGCAGUGGCUUAACCAUUGUUCGCUUUGGAAACUGUUAGACUUGAGUGCAGAAGGGGAGAGUGGAAUUCCAUGUGUAGCGGUGAAAUGCGUAGAUAUAUGGAGGAACACCGGUGGCGAAAGCGGCUCUCUGGUCUGUAACUGACGCUGAGGCUCGAAAGCGUGGGGAGCAAACAGGAUUAGAUACCCUGGUAGUCCACGCCGUAAACGAUGAGUGCUAGGUGUUAGGCCCUUUCCGGGGCUUAGUGCCGCAGCUAACGCAUUAAGCACUCCGCCUGGGGAGUACGACCGCAAGGUUGAAACUCAAA
rnacentral:rRNA from 1 species